GAUGAACGCUGGCGGCGUGCCUAACACAUGCAAGUCGAGCGUGAUUGUGUGGAUUGAAGCUUCGGCAGAGAGAAACACAUGAAAGCGGCGGACGGGUGAGUAACGCGUGGGCAACCUGCCCCAUACAGCGGAAUAGCCACUGGAAACGGUGAUUAAUGCCGCAUAAGACCACAGUAUCGCAUGGUACGGGGGUCAAAGAUUUAUCGGUAUGGGAUGGGCCCGCGUCUGAUUAGCUAGUUGGUGAGGUAACGGCUCACCAAGGCGACGAUCAGUAGCCGACCUGAGAGGGCGGACGGCCACACUGGAACUGGGACACGGUCCAGACUCCUACGGGAGGCAGCAGUGGGGAAUAUUGCACAAUGGGCGCAAGCCUGAUGCAGCAACGCCGCGUGAGUGAAGAAGGCCUUUGGGUCGUAAAGCUCUGUCCUGUGGGAAGAAAAAAAUGACGGUACCACAGGAGGAAGCCCCGGCUAACUACGUGCCAGCCGCCGCCGUAA
rnacentral:rRNA from 1 species